UACGUAGGGUGCAAGCGUUAAUCGGAAUUACUGGGCGUAAAGCGCACGUAGGCGGAUUGUUAAGUUAGGGGGGAAAUCCCGGGGCUCAACCCCGGAACUGCCUUUAAUACUGGCAAUCUCGAGUCCGAGAGAGGUGAGUGGAAUUCCGAGUGUAGAGGUGAAAUUCGUAGAUAUUCGGAGGAACACCAGUGGCGAAGGCGGCUCACUGGCUCGGUACUGACGCUGAGGUGCGAAAGCGUGGGGAGCAAACAGG
rnacentral:rRNA from 1 species